UUGGUGCACGGUGGGGUUCGGCGAUAUGCAGGGAAGCUUAUGGGGGCAUCAGGGGAGACGGAAGGACCCUGUAGUCGCCGGAAUUGCUCUCUGAUGCCUCUGCUCCGCCGCGGGCCGUGCUGCACCGUGGCCGGUGCCCUCCACGCCGCGAUAACCGGUGAGACUUAUCUCUUUGUGCUCGUGAUCAUCAAGGCUCAGUGUAGCAACGUUCAAAUUGAAGAUUCGUCCGGGUUAUGGAUUUUUGGGGGGGGGGGAUCGGCCAUGGCACCGCCGCGUAAGCACUGGUGGCGCAGCCGUCCUUAGAUUGGUAGGUAGGAGACGGCCAUCUGGCCGUUCAAUUUGUGAUGGGUGGCCCAGAUUUGUGCUAGUGAAUCGAUUGGAAUCGGCUGUUGUGGGCUGUCCGAUCUGAUCGGAGGGGUAGGAUUAACUCUCGUUUCAUAAAACCUCGGACGUGGAUUCUGGAUCCAAGGAUUGCGAUGGCGUACCAGUUCACCUAGUGAAGAUCUAAUCGGUGCCAUCAAUUCCGGAUCCAACGGCUCAGCCACGACCAUACCGCUUCACCAUGGACUAUUUGCAUAUGAGCCCCUAGAUUUAUUCAGAAACAGCCCGCAGUCCACACUGUGGGAAUACUGAGUCUUGGGUCAUUUUGCAUGUUAACCCCUGCGUUCCUCUGUUUUUGACGCCCAAUAUAGAGAUCAAUAAAAAUAGAAAAUUAAUUAUAGAAAAUGAUUUUUAAUACAAAAAUAAUUCUAGAAACUUGUAUAGUUCAUAGGAAAUUCAUAUUAAGUCCAAAUUAAUCCAUUCCAAUUUCUAUAAGUUGGUAAUAUUAUUUUUUAUCAUUUAGUACCACUGUUUUGACAUGAAUAUCACAAUAAAAUUUAUAUCCUAUUUAAUCUUGCACAAAGCACAUAAAAUCUUUAGAAAUCCAUAACUUAAAAUCUAUAACUCCAAAAUUAAUAAUUCCUGUUCUUGUGAUCUUAUUUCAAUAUGUAGAUCAUUAUUAUGUAUUUUGCAUAUAUGUUUGGUGUAAUGUUAAUUUUGCCUAUACCAUGUUUGUCUGUAUUGCUACGUUUAGCGGUGAGGACACAUGUUAUCUGAGGAGCAAGUUGGUACCUGGAAUCUCAAGUCCCAGGCAAGUUGUGCCCUUGAUCACUUCUUUUUACCCACUCAUGUUCUAAUUAAUCAUAAUGAUUUGCAUAGGUUAAUUUUGAUGGGACCCAAUAGGUUACCCUAGUUUGUCUAUCUUUAUACCUUGUUUACCACUGAACUUUUUGGGUAGUACUUGCUAGUGCUUUAUGUGGUUUUGGGUAUGAAGAUACAUUAUUCAUGAUCACACUUUUAUUAUCUGUUUAUUAUUACUGUUCAUGAUAAGAUCAUUAUGUUAAUUAGAACAUGGAGCGACCACCCGGGAAAACAGUGCUACCACAAGGAUUUAAUGGGACGCCCUUGGCUGAUUAAUUAGGAAAGCUAGUGGAAGACUACCUUACCCGAAAGGGGCAAGGGCAGUAGGGGAGUGGUCAGUGUAGGGAGGCCCUUGGGAUGAUUUUGCUGCGAUGGCGGUCAUACGAGGGGUCCCUGCAUUGGAGCUUCCUAUAAACUGUAGCGGGUUUUCUGAAGCUAGUGGAACUUUGUAAAGGCCUCGUAGUGUUACCCUGCCUCGCCUCCUCGGUAGAGGUGUAUGGGAAGUCGCGAUCCCUUGGUAGAUGGGUAACAUGACUUGUGGGUAAAGAUGCGCAACCUCUGCAGAGUGUAAAACUGGUAUAUCAGUCGUGCUCACGAUCAUGAGCAGCUCGGACCCUCACAUGAUUAAUUUAUGGAACUAAAUUCAACUUGUCAUAUGCAUUGCAUCGCAGGUGAUGUUGUUACUUUUGUUCUACUACUUAAUUGGGUUUGGUAUUUACUUAUACUUAGUUAUUGCUAAUAAAAUUUUGACGAACUUUAAAAGCAAUGCUCAGCUUCAACCAUCCUCUUUGGUAAGCCUUACACUUCAUGAGCUCCCACCUUUGGCGAGUUCAUGCACAUUAUUCCCCACAACUUGUUGAGCUAUGAACGUAUGUGAGCUCACUCUUGCUGUCUCACACCCCCACAGGUCAAGAACAGGUACCAUAGGAUGAGGCGCAUGGAGGAUGCUGUGACGAGUUCAUGAGAGGUCUAGGCCGUCGUCUCCCAGUCAACUUUGGGUUAUUGGAUCGUUGUCUCCUUAUAAU
rnacentral:lncRNA from 1 species